CGGCGAGGCGGGGCUGGGAGCCGGGUUUCUCCUUGCUCUUCGGAAACCGUGUUAGAACGGCGCUGCGCCCCCGAAAGCGGCUAAAAUGCUCGACUUAUAGUAUGUGUUUUCUACCACAAUACGAAAAAGAAAAAAGCAUUAAAAGGAGGCGAUAGGGACCCUUGUGAACAGGUGGAUGUGGGCCCGCAGGUGUGGGGCUGCCAGAUUUGGCCAAAAAACAUCUGGACGCGGUUAAAUUUGAGUUUCAGACAGAGACUGAGUGAUUUCUUAGUGUAAGCAUCCCGUGCAAUAUUUGGAUGUACUUAUGCCAGGAAAAGAUGGCUAUUUGUAUGAAAUUCAAGCGUAACCGGCCAUCCGAUAUUUGCCUGGGAGACCUACCCUGGGGUCCCCAUGUUUUACAACAAACACUUUAUAAAAUGAUAAAUAAUUUCAAGCAAAAACAGGGUCAUGUAAUCUUCGUGACCCUGGAUUAGGCAGUGGUUUCUUAGACGUAACACCAAAAGCACAAACAACAAAGGAAACAGUAAAUUGGACUUCAUUAACAUUACAGAAUUUUGUGCCUCGAAGAGCACCAAGAAGAAAGUGAAAAGACCCACAGAAUGGGAGAAAAUAUCUGUAAAUCGUGUAUCUGAUCAGGACUUAUAUCCAGAACACAUGAAGAACACUUACAACUGGAUUAAAAGAAGAUGAAUGACUCAAUUAAGAAAACGGACAAAGGCGGCCAGCCCAGUGGCGUAGUGGUUAGGGUCGUGCAUCCAGCUUCUGUGGCCUCAGGUUCACAAGUUCGGAUCCUGGGUGCAGACCCGCACACCGCUCAUCAAGCCGUGCUGUGGUGGGGUCCCACAUACAAAAUAGAGGAAGAGGGGCACAGAUGUUAGCUCAGGGCCAACCUUCCUCUAGCAAAAAACAAACGAGCAAAACAAACAGACAAAGGAUCUGAAUACACACACUUCUGCAAAGAAGAUACGGAAAUGGACAAGAAGCCCCUGAAAAGGUUUACGACAUCCUGAGCCCUCAGGGAAGUGCAAACCAAAACCACAGUGAGAUGAUGGUUCACACCCCAGCGGAUGGCUGUCAGCAAAAAUGCGGAAAAUAGCAAGUGCUGGUGAAGGUGGAGAAAUCAGAGCCUGUGCACGGCUGGUGAGAUGCCAAACGGUGCAGCCGCUGUGGAAAGCACCCUGGCAGAUCCUCGGAGGCUUAAACCAGAGUUACCAUCUGACCCAGCAAAGACUGAAAAUCCACAUCCACGCAGAAUCUCAUGCCCAGAUGUUCACAGCAGCACGACUCAUAAUGGCUGAAAGGCAGAGCAACCCGAAUGCCCACUGAUGGAUGAACGGAUCCACACUCGUGUCCACCCACACGCUGGAGCAUGACGCAGCCGUGAAGAGGAGCGAGGCCCUGACACGGCUGCACGUGGACGGACCUCGAACCCACGAUGCUCAGGGAAAGAAGCAGACACAGAAGGACACACGGCGUGUGACCCCAUGGACAGGAAACGUCCAGAACAGGCCGAUCCACAGACAGAGAGCGGGCUCACGGGGGCCAGGGGCUGGGGAGGGGGUGGGGGUGAUGCUGAUGGGGAAAGGGUUGCUUUUUAGGGGGAUGAAAAUGUUCUAAAAUUGAUUGUGGUGAUGAGCGCACAACUCUGAAAUGUACUAAGCCCACUGAGCUGUACACUUUAAAUGGAUGAAUUGUACCGUAUGUGAAUUAUCUCAACUGAAACAUAGGGUCAUGUAAGGGGGCGGCUGCUCUAGCUAAGGGGUCAGGUGCCUUUUCGGAGGUGAUGACAUGUGAGAUGAUAACAAUGAGGAGGCAGCGGCCACGGGAAGGGGUGAGCGGUACGUCUGGGAACAGCCUGUCCGGCGCAGGGAGGCAGGCCCGGGGAGGAGGCUGAGAGGAGCCGGCCAGCAGAGUCCCAGCUGCCGUGGACGUCGGAGGCAAAGGCAGGAAGGAGGUGGCAGAGGGGCCAGGACUUGCUGAGAAAGGGGCUAUGGGGUGAGGACCUCACGCCUGCAAGACCCACUCUCAGAAGUGCCCGGAGCCGACCAGAAGCCCCAGCCCUGGGCCCAUGGGCUUGGCGAGGCCGCCUGCACGGGGUUGAGAGCUACGUGCAGCAUGAGGGAGGCCGGCGGCCAGCUGGCCUCAGGGCCCCUCUGGCCGGGGCCGCAUUCCUGCCCCCCCUGCCCUCCCUGGGCUGGGCUGCCGACAGAUCUCGUGGGAAAUAUCAGGGCUGCCAGGAAGCCUUUGUUUACAAAAUAAAGCCGCUCCUCCUUGAAGACCC
ensembl:lncRNA